AUGGAGCAUUCUGAUAGUAGUAUGGAUCCUGUGUUAUAUCAGUCCAAGAAACUUGAUUCAGAUACUGAAACUCCUGAAGGAUCUGAUGAACUUGUUUUCUUUUCAAAAAAUGAGGUAAAUGAUUCUCCAAUAGAGGAAGUCCGCCUCACAGUGCCAAUUACAGAUGAUCCAACACUGCCAUGCUUGACAUUCCGGACAUGGGUCUUGGGGAUCCUUGCUUGUAUUUUCCUGGCAUUCUUGAAUCAAUUUUUCGGGUACCGCCAAAAUGUCUUGUCUUUGACGUCAAUUUCUGCCCAAAUUGUAGUACUUCCACUAGGAAAGCUCAUGGCAGCAUCUCUGCCAGAGAAAACUCUUAAAAUUCCUGCAACCAAUUGGUCAUUUUCGUUGAAUCCUGGGCCAUUUAAUUUGAAAGAGCAUGUACUGAUCACCAUAUUCGCCAAUUCAGGCUCGAAUACUGUUUAUGCUGUGAUAAUUAUUACUAUAGCGAAGGCUUUCUAUGGUGGGCAACUUCACCCUGUUGCAGCCAUGUCGUUAGCCCAGUCCACUCAGAUGCUUGGAUAUGGAUGGGCUGGCAUUUUUCGAAAGUUUCUAGUUGAUUCACCAUACAUGUGGUGGCCUUCCAAUCUGGUUCAAGUCUCCCUCUUUAGGGCUUUGCAUGAGGUUGAGAUUAGGCCAAAGGGAGGUGUAACAAGGCUGCAGUUCUUCCUUGUUGUCCUCGUCUCGAGUUUUGCAUACUAUAUUGUCCCUAAGUAUCUAUUUCCAUCUAUUACUGCUUUUCCUUCAUGUGUUGGAUAUGGAAGGACUCGAUCACUGCCCAACAAAUUGGCUCUGGCCUAAAUGGCCUUGGCCUUGGCUCAUUUGCCUUAGAUUGGUCUACUGCAGCUAGUUUCCUAGGAAGUCCCUUAGCCACCCCGGGUUUCGCUAUCAUAAACAUAAUGACUGGUUUCUUCAUAGUUGUCUACAUUGUAAUCCCUAUUGCUUAUUGGACUAACUUAUAUGAAGCCAAGCGAUUUCCAAUUGUCUCAGCAGAUGUGUUCGAUGCUGAUGGGGGCUCGUAUAAUGUCUCGCGAGUUCUGAAUUACACAACCUUUGAAUUCAACCAACAAGGAUAUGAUGGUUAUAGCAAGAUUAAUUUGAGUAUCUUCUUUGUCUUCACUUAUGGUUUGAGCUUUGCAACAUUGGCAGCCACACUAUCUCAUGUUGCACUCUUCCAUGGAAGAAGAAUUUGGCAACAGGCAAAAGCAUCAUUGCAAGAUCAGUUUGAUGAUGUCCACACAAGGCUGAUGAAGAAAAACUAUGACCCUGUCCCUCAAUGGUGGUUUUACACACUCUUGACAUUGGUGAUUGGGCUUGCCAUGGCUGCUUGUGAAGGCUUUAACAGACAACUGCAGCUUCCAUACUGGGGAAUCCUACUUGCAAUUUCUUUGGCUUUGCUCUUCACCCUCCCUGUUGGUGUGAUUACAGCUACCACAAACCAGCAACCAGGACUAAACGUCAUCACUGAGAUGAUUCUCGGCUACAUUUACCCCGGAAAACCUCUUGCAAAUCUGGUCUUCAAGACUUAUGGAUCCGUAAGCAUGGGACAGACUAUCAUGUUUCUCUCUGAUUUCAAGCUCGGCCAUUACAUGAAAAUCCCUCCCAAGUCCAUGUUUGUUGUUCAGCUGGUGGGAACAGUAAUAGCAUCCUCAGUCUACUUUGGAACAGCUUGGCUGCUUCUAACCUCAAUCGACAACAUAUGCCACCCUUCUCUAUUGCCAGAAGGGUCCCCAUGGACGUGCCCAGGGGACAGAGUUUUCUACAGCGCCUCCCUCAUUUUGGGUGUGGUUGGGCCCCUCCGCAUGUUUGGCCGCCUUGGUCUAUACGCCAAGACGAACUACUUCUUCCUCCUAGGCAUUCUUGCACCAGUGCCAGUGUGGCUCCUCUCUCACCUUUUUCCUGAGAAAAAAUGGAUAAAACUUAUCAACAUGCCCAUUAUCAUAGGGGGGGCUGGGGCUAUGCCAAUUGCCAAGGCAGUGAACUACUGGUGCUGGUCCCUACACUGGGGUGCUAUGGGGAUUUUUUUCAACAUUUUUGUGUACAGGAGAUUCAAGGGGUGGUGGGCUAGGCACAACUACGUUCUAUCAGCUGGGUUGGAUGCUGGAGUGGCUUUCAUGGCCAUACUCUCCUAUUUCACACUGCAGGAUAAAGACAUCAAUGGGAUGCAGUGGUGGGGUUUGGGUAUAGAUGACCAUUGCCCUCUGGCUCAUUGCCCCACUGCCCCUGCUAUAAAGGUUGAAGGAUGCCCUGUUUUUAAUUGACAGGUCUAUUCUU